AGCGAACGCUGGCGGUAGGCCUAACACAUGCAAGUCGAACGAACGCUUAGUAAGUGCUUGCUCUUACGGGUGGAGCGUGGCGGAAGGGUGAGUUUUACAUCGGAUUAUACUUUUUCACGGGGGAUAAUGUAGGGUAACUUACGCUAAUACCGCAUACGACCUACGGGUGAAAGCAGGGGAUCUUCGGACCUUGUGCGGAUGAAUGAGCCGAUGUCGGAUUAGCUAGUUGGCGGGGCAGAGGCGAACCACGGCGACGAUCCGUAGCAGGCCUGAGAGGAUGAACAGCCACACUGGAACUGAGACACGGUCCAGACUCCUACGGGAGGCAGCAGUGGAGAAUCUUGGACGAUGGGCGCAAGCGUGAUCCAGCCAUACCGGGUGAGUGAAGAAGGCCUUCGGGUUGUAAAACCCUUUUGUUGGUAAAGAAAAGCAACAGUUUAAUCCCCCGCGAUACUGACGGUACCCAAAGAAUAAGCACCGGCUAACUUCGUG
rnacentral:rRNA from 1 species